rnacentral:rRNA from 1 species
AUUGAACGCUGGCGGCAUGCUUUACACAUGCAAGUCGAACGGUAACAGGUUAAGCUGACGAGUGGCGAACGGGUGAGUAAUGCAUCGGAACGUGCCCGAUCGUGGGGGAUAACGCAGCGAAAGCUGCGCUAAUACCGCAUACGAUCUGAGGAUGAAAGUGGGGGACCUUCGGGCCUCACGCUAUUCGAGCGGCCGACGUCUGAUUAGCUAGUAGGUGAGGUAAAGGCUCACCUAGGCGACGAUCAGUAGCGGGUCUGAGAGGAUGAUCCGCCACACUGGGACUGAGACACGGCCCAGACCCCUACGGGAGGCAGCAGUGGGGAAUUUUGGACAAUGGGCGAAAGCCUGAUCCAGCCAUGCCGCGUGUCUGAAGAAGGCCUUCGGGUUGUAAAGGACUUUUGUCAGGGAGGAAAUCCCUAGUGCUAAUAACACUGGGGGAUGACAGUACCUGAAGAAUAAGCACCGGCUAACUACGUGCCAGCCGCCGCCGUAA